rnacentral:rRNA from 1 species
UAGGGAAUCUUGCGCAAUGGGCGAAAGCCUGACGCAGCGACGCCGCGUGCGGGAAGACGGUCUUCGGAUUGUAAACCGCUUUCAGGAGGGAAGAAGCGAAAGUGACGGUACCUCCAGAAGAAGCCCCGGCCAACUACGUGCCAGCAGCCGCGGUAAUACGUAGGGGGCAAGCGUUGUCCGGAAUUAUUGGGCGUAAAGAGCUCGUAGGCGGCUCAGCAAGUCGGCUGUGAAAUCCCGAGGCUCAACCUCGGAACUGCAGUCGAUACUGCUGUGGCUAGAGUCUGGUAGAGGAGAAUGGAAUUCCCAGUGUAGCGGUGAAAUGCGCAGAUAUUGGGAGGAACACCAGUAGCGAAGGCGGUUCUCUGGGCCAGCACUGACGCUGAGGAGCGAAAGCGUGGGUAGCAAACAGGAUUAGAUACCCGCGUAGUCC